UUCGGUCGGGAACUCAAAGGAGACUGCCAGUGAUAAACUGGAGGAAGGUGGGGAUGACGUCAAGUCAUCAUGGCCCUUACGAGUAGGGCUACACACGUGCUACAAUGGCGCAUACAAAGAGAAGCGACCUCGCGAGAGCAAGCGGACCUCAUAAAGUGCGUCGUAGUCCGGAUUGGAGUCUGCAACUCGACUCCAUGAAGUCGGAAUCGCUAGUAAUCGUGGAUCAGAAUGCCACGGUGAAUACGUUCCCGGGCCUUGUACACACCGCCCGUCACACCAUGGGAGUGGGUUGCAAAAGAAGUAGGUAGCUUAACCUUCGGGAGGGCGCUUACCACUUUGUGAUUCAUGACUGGGGUGAAGUCGUAACAAGGUAACCGUAGGGGAACCUGCGGUUGGAUCACCUCCUUACCUUAAAGAAGC
rnacentral:rRNA from 1 species